AGAUUGAACGCUGGCGGCAUGCCUUACACAUGCAAGUCGAACGGCAGCACGGGGGCAACCCUGGUGGCGAGUGGCGAACGGGUGAGUAAUGCAUCGGAACGUGCCCAGUAGUGGGGGAUAACUAGUCGAAAGAUUAGCUAAUACCGCAUACGACCUAUGGGUGAAAGCGGGGGAUUCGCAAGAACCUCGCGCUAUCGGAGCGGCCGAUGUCUGAUUAGCUAGUUGGCGGGUAAAAGCCCACCAAGGCUUCGAUCAGUAGCUGGUCUGAGAGGACGACCAGCCACACUGGGACUGAGACACGGCCCAGACUCCGUACGGGAGCAGCAGUGGGGAAUUUUGGACAAGUGGGCGCAAGCCUGGAUCCAGCCAUCGCCGCGUGGACGGGAAGAGGUCCUUAGGUUCGUAACCGUCGUUUUAGGCGUAGGAACGAACGGCG
rnacentral:rRNA from 1 species